UCAUAUGGUAUUAUUUCCAUUCCCCUUUAUCCUGAUAAAGGGUCCGUGUUUUGACAUUU
rnacentral:ribozyme from 1 species